rnacentral:lncRNA from 1 species
GCCAGAAGCCUUAUCCUUGGCAAGACUGAAAAUGGAUCCUUUGAUUUCUUCCUCUGUAAAUAGUUUCUCCAGCUCCUAUAGGUCUGCUGCUUCAUGGGGAUAUAGAAUGUUCCAGUCAACCUCUAAGUCAGCUGGUUCACCUUCACUGAAAAGAGUUGAGUAGUAUCUUAGUGACAUAUCCUUUAUUUGAUCUUGGGAUUGAGCCAUUAAUCAAUACUUG